rnacentral:rRNA from 1 species
CAGGCUUAACACAUGCAAGUCGAGGGGCAUCAGGAAGAAAGCUUGCUUUCUUUGCUGGCGACCGGCGCACGGGUGAGUAACACGUAUCCAACCUGCCCUUUACUCGGGGAUAGCCUUUCGAAAGAAAGAUUAAUACCCGAUAGCAUAAUGAUUCCGCAUGGUUUCAUUAUUAAAGGAUUCCGGUAAAGGAUGGGGAUGCGUUCCAUUAGGUUGUUGGUGAGGUAACGGCCCACCAAGCCUUCGAUGGAUAGGGGUUCUGAGAGGAAGGUCCCCCACAUUGGAACUGAGACACGGUCCAAACUCCUACGGGAGGCAGCAGUGAGGAAUAUUGGUCAAUGGGCGCUAGCCUGAACCAGCCAAGUAGCGUGAAGGAUGAAGGCUCUAUGGGUCGUAAACUUCUUUUAUAUAAGAAUAAAGUGCAGUAUGUAUACUGUUUUGUAUGUAUUAUAUGAAUAAGGAUCGGCUAACUCCGUGCCAGCAGCCGCGGUAAUACGGAGGAUCCGAGCGUUAUCCGGAUUUAUUGGGUUUAAAGGGAGCGUAGGUGGACUGGUAAGUCAGUUGUGAAAGUUUGCGGCUCAACCGUAAAAUUGCAGUUGAUACUGUCAGUCUUGAGUACAGUAGAGGUGGGCGGAAUUCGUGGUGUAGCGGUGAAAUGCUUAGAUAUCACGAAGAACUCCGAUUGCGAAGGCAGCUCACUGGACUGCAACUGACACUGAUGCUCGAAAGUGUGGGUAUCAAACAGGAUUAGAUACCCUGGUAGUCCACACAGUAAACGAUGAAUACUCGCUGUUUGCGAUAUACAGUAAGCGGCCAAGCGAAAGCAUUAAGUAUUCCACCUGGGGAGUACGCCGGCAACGGUGAAACUCAAAGGAAUUGACGGGGGCCCGCACAAGCGGAGGAACAUGUGGUUUAAUUCGAUGAUACGCGAGGAACCUUACCCGGGCUUAAAUUGCAGUGGAAUGAUGUGGAAACAUGUCAGUGAGCAAUCACCGCUGUGAAGGUGCUGCAUGGUUGUCGUCAGCUCGUGCCGUGAGGUGUCGGCUUAAGUGCCAUAACGAGCGCAACCCUUAUCUUUAGUUACUAACAGGUUAUGCUGAGGACUCUGGAGAGACUGCCGUCGUAAGAUGUGAGGAAGGUGGGGAUGACGUCAAAUCAGCACGGCCCCUACGUCCGGGGCUACACACGUGUUACAAUGGGGGGUACAGAAGGCAGCUAGCGGGUGACCGUAUGCUAAUCCCAAAAGCCUCUCUCAGUUCGGAUCGAAGUCUGCAACCCGACUUCGUGAAGCUGGAUUCGCUAGUAAUCGCGCAUCAGCCACGGCGCGGUGAAUACGUUCCCGGGCCUUGUACACACCGCCCGUCAAGCCAUGGGAGCCGGGGGUACCUGAAGUACGUAACCGCAAGGAUCGUCCUAGGGUAAAACUGGUGACUGGGGCUAAGUC